rnacentral:rRNA from 1 species
CCUACGGGUGGCAGCAGUGGGGAAUAUUGCACAAUGGGGGGAACCCUGAUGCAGCAACGCCGCGUGGGUGAAGAAGUACUUCGGUAUGUAAAGCCCUGUCAGCAGGGAAGAAAAUGACGGUACCUGACCAAGAAGCCCCGGCUAACUACGUGCCAGCAGCCGCGGUAAUACGUAGGGGGCAAGCGUUAUCCGGAUUGACUGGGUGUAAAGGGAGCGUAGACGGCAAGGCAAGUCUGGAGUGAAAGCCCGGGGCUCAACCACGGGACUGCUUUGGAAACUGUGUUGCUGGAGUGCAGGAGGGGUAAGCGGAAUUCCAAGUGUAGCGGUGAAAUGCGUAGAUAUUAGGAGGAACACCGGUGGCGAAGGCGGCUUACUGGACUGUAACUGACGUUGAGGCUCGAAGGCGUGGGGAGCAAACAGGAUUAGAUACCCCUGUAGUC